CAACUUGAAUUGCCUGAUCGUCAUCGUUUUUUUGCACAAUUGCACGGAGACCGAAUUCAUUAUUAUUUUAUAUCAAAGUUAUAUGACUGCUUCCCAACCUUUUUAAAAAAAUGGUAGAACUACUUAGAGACAAUCAUCAAUGAUCGCAGGAAAGAGGGGGAGACAGGUAGCCUACUUUUUUAGUAAUGUUAUCAGUUCUACAGUCUGUGGAGUGUGGACUUCAUUAGCUAUGCAUAAGUGCUGUUGAAAGCAGAAUUUCUAGAGUGGUUAAGCUUAUGCUUGCAAUAAUAUGGCAUGUGAAUUUCAUCUUGAAUGAAAAACCAAAACUGGAGUUGUUUAGUCAUUAAAGGAGCCUAUUUUCAGGAAUAAAGGUAAGUCCAAAAUAUUAGAUGUUUAAUAAUUUUUUAUUUUUCAU